rnacentral:rRNA from 1 species
UACGGAGGGUGCAAGCGUUAUCCGGAUUCACUGGGUUUAAAGGGCGCGUAGGCGGCGCAACAAGUCACUUGUGAAAUCUCCGGGCUUAACCCGGAGCGGUCAAGUGAUACUGUCGUGCUAGAGUGCGGAAGGGGCUACUGGAAUUCUCGGUGUAGCGGUGAAAUGCGUAGAUAUCGAGAGGAACACCUGCGGCGAAGGCGGGUAGCUGGGCCGACACUGACGCUGAUGCGCGAAAGCCAGGGGAGGCGAACGGGAU